rnacentral:rRNA from 1 species
GAUUUACUUCGGUAAUGACGUUGGGAAAGCGAGCGGCGGAUGGGUGAGUAACACGUGGGGAACCUGCCCCUAAGUCUGGGAUACCAUUUGGAAACAGGUGCUAAUACCGGAUAAUAAAGCAGAUCGCAUGAUCAGCUUUUGAAAGGCGGCGUAAGCUGUCGCUAAGGGAUGGCCCCGCGGUGCAUUAGCUAGUUGGUAAGGUAACGGCUUACCAAGGCGACGAUGCAUAGCCGAGUUGAGAGACUGAUCGGCCACAUUGGGACUGAGACACGGCCCAAACUCCUACGGGAGGCAGCAGUAGGGAAUCUUCCACAAUGGACGCAAGUCUGAUGGAGCAACGCCGCGUGAGUGAAGAAGGUUUUCGGAUCGUAAAGCUCUGUUGUUGGUGAAGAAGGAUAGAGGUAGUAACUGGCCUUUAUUUGACGGUAAUCAACCAGAAAGUCACGGCUAACUACGUGCCAGCAGCCGCGGUAAUACGUAGGUGGCAAGCGUUGUCCGGAUUUAUUGGGCGUAAAGCGAGCGCAGGCCGGAAAAAUAAGUCUAAUGUGAAAGCCCUCGG